rnacentral:lncRNA from 1 species
CCAUAAUUGAAUUUCUAGUGGGGCUAUAGUCCCACCAAUGCUGUGCACCUCACCUAACAGUUAUUGAUAACAUGAAUGAACACUAAUGCAUGGAUAACUCUUUAUCCAAAUACUUUUCUAAGCAUGUUACAGCCACUUGGUCUCUAAGUCAUAUGGGCUCACCUAACAAUUAUUGCCCGCACUUCUUAAUUAAGUUAGACCCACCA